rnacentral:tRNA from 1 species
UGGCUCAGAUGGCAAAGCAUCUGCCUGCAAUGCGGGAGACCCAGGUUCUAUUCCUGG